CGCAGAUGCCUACGAUUAACUCC
rnacentral:piRNA from 1 species